ensembl:lncRNA
CCCCAACAAACUCAUUCUGAAUCUGAGAUUCAGAGCUUACCUUGAAAAACAUCUAAGACAACUCCUUCAAAGGUACAGUCCCCUUCUCAUUUGGCCACUCAGAGGAUCCACUCAAACCCAUUUGGACAGUGUACCACUGCCUUUUGUAGGGCCCAUAUUCGAUAAUGUUUGGUUGAUUUGCUAUAGUAAUUUAGGUUUGAGCCAAAGAUUGAUCUCUGAAAGAAUAUGCAUUGUAUGUGCAUAUACUAAUACCCUUUUUAGAAAGAGAAGAAAUCUGCAGAGGUGGACUUUUUUUUAAAGCUGUCAUUUGAGAGUUUAGCAAAGAUUUAAUACAGUGAACUUUCUGAAUCUGCAAUAGUCAAUAAUUUGAUUGGAUUGGAAGUUUCUGAGUCUUAUAAUUUCAUGUUUUUAAUUGGGUUAAUAAUAAUUUUAUGAGACAACCAUGUGCAAGAGGCCCAAUUAAAUCAUAGCAAAGGUGAAAAUUAUUUGUGGUUUAUUUUCACUUCACAUGACAGACUAAUUACUAAGGAGAAAAGUUAUUUUUUGUAAAGUGGACGUCUGGCUCUAAAAUUCAUUCACCUGGGCCUCAGACACCUUGAAAUAUUAAUUCCCAUCUAGAUCCUCCUAUUUUCCAUAGGUUGAAAGUUCUGAGGAAUAGCUGAGAAAUUCUGAGCUCCUUGAAAGACACAAAUGCAGACAAACCCUGUUUCUAGUUUACAGUGUUCUCAUAAAGGUACACAACUGAUCUUGGGAAUAUGACCUCAUUUUCCAGGACUCAAAAUAUUGAAAUUAUGUGUGACUUUCCAAUUCAAAUGAAGGAUGAAGAUUUUUAAAGACAACUCAGAAAAUAUGAUCCAACAAUAUUCACGUGGAUCAGAGAUUAUUCUAUGAUUUCAUUUACUUUUACUUAAAAGUGAAGAUUAUCUGCUUCUUUCUGAAAGGCAACAUCCAAAAACGUAAUAAAAGAAUGACAGCACCAUAGUUUCAGAAAAGUAUUGAUAGAGCACGUUGAAAAUCCUGUGUGGCAAAGUGUCCUUGAGAAAAAAAACAAGUUUUGUCCCCAGAAAUAAAGCCAUAUGUUAUUAUUCAUAUUUCAUAGGUGGACGUAUGGUUUUCCUAGUGUCCCUGAGAGAUCAUGCCCAUACCUUCUGUACAAGCAGAUCAUGUUUCUUAUCGUAUGAGCUCUCCAUACUGGUCAGUUGAUUAUAUCAAGAUUCAAGACCUGAGUCCAAGUGACUCCUUUUCAGGCCAUGAGGUGGCCUAAGGGAAGAAAACCCAGAAAUACUUGGCCCAACCCAUUUGAGUCUGACUAUGAGAGAUAGAAAGUAAAUGAGUAGCAGCAAGAGCAACCAAGAUAGACACAGUCACCAUAAUAUGGCCACCUUGGAGCAGGAAUGGCAAUGACUUUUGCCACCAAGUCUAGAGGUCUUUUUGAUUCACCAUUUCUGCUUUUGGGUUACUGGAGAAAUGACUGAUUCCUGAACAAUGAGUCUGGAGUUUGUGGUUACUGGGUUGCUUUCAUAUCUUCCUGCCUUUCUUAUGUAUUGACAUAAAUAAACUCAC